rnacentral:rRNA from 1 species
AAAAGCACUUUGAAAAGAGAGUGCAAGAGAACGUGAAACCGACAUAAUGGAAGCGGAUGGAGCCGACGUAUCUUGUACGUAUUCAAUCGUUCGCUGCGGCGAUCGUCUAUUCGAACAUUCCGCAAGGUUGUCGAGUGGGCGUUCAAUCGUCGUUGUGGGCGAUGCAUUUGCGUGCGGAGUGCGCCGAGUGGGUUGAUAGUGUUGUCGGAUGUGUGUUUAGAGGACUUGAAAUGGCAACAUUUCGAGAACCCUGGACAUGCGGAAGGCGAGUGCUGUUGGCUUGUUGUUGUUGUUCGAGCGGGUGCAUUCGCGGUCGUGCAUUCCGGUGCGGGAGACUUGUGUUCGACACAUGUGUCGGGCGUUCGAUUCUCGUAUCGAGGUGUACGGCUGCCCUCGUUUCGGCAACUCGGUGUAUAGUCGGUCACCCAUUUGACCCGUCUUGAAACACGGACCAAGGAGUUUAAGGUGUACGCAAGUCAUUGAGCUUGUCGAAACUCAAAGGCGUAAUGAAAGUGAGACUCUUGGAGUCGACGAUGUGAACGAGGCGCGUUUCGACGUUCUUCGUGCAACAUCGCCCCGUGAUUUGGACUUGUCCUGUUGCGGAGGUUGAGCGUACGCUUUGAGACCCGAAAGAUGGUGAACUAUGCCUGAACAGGAUGAAGCCAGAGGAAACUCUGGUGGAAGUCCGAAGCGGUUCUGACGUGCAAAUCGAUCGUCUGAUUUGGGUAUAGGGGCGCAAGACUAAUCGAACCAUC